AUAAAGUUCCUUUGGGUAAGAAGUACUACUUGUCAUCAAAAUGGAUAAAAGGAGAUGUAUCUAGACGUAUUUUAGUUCUAGCUACGUCCUUUUUAUCCAUUUUGAUGACAAGUAUUUUUGGACAGAGGGAGCUUAUA
rnacentral:pre_miRNA from 1 species